rnacentral:rRNA from 1 species
CAGAGGUCCCUAAGCGUUGUUCGGAUUCACUGGGCGUAAAGGGUGCGUAGGUGGCUUGGUAAGUUUGACUGUGAAAUCUCCGGGCUUAACCCGGAAAUGGCAUUGAAUACUAUCGGGCUGGAGGUUUGGAGGGGGGACUGGAAUUCUCGGUGUAGCAGUGAAAUGCGUAGAUAUCGAGAGGAACACCAGUGGCGAAGGCGAGUCCCUGGACAACACCUGACACUGAGGCACGAAAGCUAGGGGAGCAAACAGGGAUUAGAUACCCUGGUAGUCCUAGCUGUAAACGGUGCAUAUUUGCUGUAAAAGGAAUCGACCCCUUUUGUGGCGAAGCUAACGCGAUAAAUAUGCCGCCUGGGAAGUACGGUCGCAAGAUUA